UGCUCCUGCUUCAGCCAGUAGAAGUGAAUUAGUAAGAAAAUUGGCCUGUGACUACAGUUUUUAUUUCUGGAAAAUCAGUGUCUUCCACAUCCUAUUAAAUUCAAGGCCAGCUCCUGGUUCCCAUUUCUAGAGAACUGCCUCACCUACUGGAAAAGAUUUAAGCAUCAGAGUCUGCUGACACAGGAAAAGGAGGCAGAAGGAAGGGCUGGCUAUACUCAGAGAACUUCAGGAGGACCUUGGCACACACCAAACUCUACAGGAAACUGCAGCUUGAAGGCCCAUGGCUCUACUGUCACUGACAGUCCCACAUGGAUGGCGCAGCCCUAGAUGGCAGUCAAGGAAGCCAAGGAUAGGAGAAAUUGAGCCACCCUCACCAUGACUUAAUAUGUAAAGCAAAGAAUGAAACCAAUCCACUCUCCUUCAGAUCAUGGUGAAAUUUGGUAAUUAAACUUAAUUUAUAUAAAUAAUUCAACCUCUAGAGCCCCACCAUCUCCUUUUGACUUUAAAAGAUAAAACAACAAAGAUUCAUUUAAAGUUAUGAGUAUGCUUUCCCAGUUCCUCUCUUGUCACUUCCUGUUUCCACGUUCAGGUCUCCUAACCAUCAGCAAGUAGGGUAGGGUUUCUCCACAUCACCUUCUGAGGGUCUCUCCUACCACUUCCCUGCCUGGAGAUCUCUGACACCAGAGCUGAAGCCCAGAGCCCCUCCUCAUAUUGUCUAUCCAAUGAGGGGAUGAAAGUUCAGUCCUAGAAGUGUUGGAAAGAAUCUUACAUAUCAGCUAGAAUCAUCAUUUCAACUCACUUGUUAAAGAAGCUGUAGUCCAGGGAGGAGACAGGACUUAUACAAUGGCUGUUUUAGAUCCAAAAAUGCA